rnacentral:rRNA from 1 species
GACAGCAGCAGCGCGGUAAUACAGAGGGUGCAAGCGUUAAUCGGAAUUACUGGGCGUAAAGCGCGCGUAGGUGGUUUGUUAAGUUGGAUGUGAAAUCCCCGGGCUCAACCUGGGAACUGCAUCCAAAACUGGCAAGCUAGAGUAUGGUAGAGGGUGGUGGAAUUUCCUGUGUAGCGGUGAAAUGCGUAGAUAUAGGAAGGAACACCAGUGGCGAAGGCGACCACCUGGACUGAUACUGACACUGAGGUGCGAAAGCGUGGGGAGCGAACAGGAUUAGAGACCCCCGUAGUCCCUGUCUCUUAUACA